AUACGGAGGGGGCUAGCGUUGUUCGGAAUUACUGGGCGUAAAGCGCGCGUAGGCGGAUUGACAAGUUGGGGGUGAAAUCCCGGGGCUUAACCCCGGAACUGCCCUCAAAACUGCUGAUCUAGAGACCGGGAGAGGUAAGCGGAAUUCCUAGUGUAGAGGUGAAAUUCGUAGAUAUUAGGAAGAACACCAGUGGCGAAGGCGGCUUACUGGACCGGUACUGACGCUAAGGUGCGAAAGCGUGGGGAGCAAACAGGAUUAGAAACCCCGGUAGUCC
rnacentral:rRNA from 1 species